AUUUAUUUAUUUAUUUUAGCCGGGCAUGGUGGUGCACGCCUGUAAUCCAGCUACUCUGGAGGCUGAGGCAGGAGAAUGGCUUAAACACAGGAGGCGGAGGUUACAGUGAGCGGAGAUCGUGCCACUGUACUCCAGCCUGGGUGACAAGAGUGAGACUCUGUCUCAGAAAAAAAAAGAAAAAGUUGUUUGAGUGUGUCUUUUUUUUUUUUUUCUACAAUGUGUUUUGAAGCAAAGUCUUUGGCAUGCUGUGUUUCUAUGCAGGAUUUCAAGAAUGCCCAUCUUCCCAAGAGUGCUGCCUCCCCACCUGAUGCUGGUUUCACUUCCAUGCCUGCAGUCUUGCUCCUCUAACUGUAACCGUUCUGUUUCUGAUCCAGGUUACAAUAAGCUCUUGUGACCUCCUGGUUGUAAGUGUUGGCCAGAUGUCUAUGUCCAGGGCCAUCAACCUAACCCAGAAACUCUGGACAGCAGGCAUCACAGCAGAAAUCAUGUACGACUGGUCACAGUCCCAAGAGGAAUUACAAGAGUACUGCAGACAUCAUGAAAUCACCUAUGUGGCCCUUGUCUCAGAUAAAGAAGGAAGCC
rnacentral:sRNA from 1 species